rnacentral:rRNA from 1 species
UCAUUAUAUCAGUUAUGGUUCCUUGGAUUAUUAACAGUUACUUGGAUAACUGUGGUAAUUCUAGAGCUAAUACAUGCAAUAUAAACACGAACCAUAAUAGCAAUGUUGUGGAGCGUGUGCUUUUAUUAGACAAAAACCAAGCGAUCGGUGAUUCGUAGUCAUCGAUUGUUAAAAUUUGGUUGAACUCUAAAUAACUUGCUGAUCGUAUGGUCUUGUACCGACGACAGAUCUUUCAAAUGUCUGCCCUAUCAACUUUUGAUGGUAGUAUAUUGGACUACCAUGGUUGCUACGGGUGACGGGGAAUCAGGGUUCGAUUCCGGAGAGGGAGCCUGAGAAACGGCUACCACAUCUAAGGAAGGCAGCAGGCGCGUAAAUUACCCACUCCCAGCUCGGGGAGGUAGUGACGAAAAAUAACAAUACAGGACUCAUUUUAGAGGCAUUGUAAUUGGAAUGAGUACACUUUAAAUCCUUUAACAAGGACCUAUUGGAGGGCAAGCCUAGUGCCAGCAGCCGCGGUAACUCUAGCUCCAAUAGCGUAUAUUAAAGUUGUUGCGGUUAAAACGUUCGUAGUUGAAUUUGUGCUUCAUACGGGUAGUAUCGAUUAUAAAUGUAGUCGAUUACUAUACCUUAUGUAUGUAAGCGUAUUACCGGUGGGAGUUCAAUAUUUGUUUAUUUGUGUUGGAAUGCGGUGCGACGUUCUUGCGUUGGCGAAUGUUUUGUCGUUUUGAUAUUGCAUCUCGUCAUUAAGCAUGGCGUUGUUAUCCAUCCAACCGGUUUACAGAUAUACUCCUAAUUUUCUUUUUUUUUAAAUAAAGAAAAAGAAAAACCCAUUACGGUGCUCUUUAUCGGGUGUUGUUGUGGGCCGGUACAAUUACUUUGAACAAAUUAGAGUGCUUCAAGCAGGCUAUAAAAUGCCUGAAUAUUUUGUGCAUGGAAUAAUGAAAUAAGACCUCUGUUCUACUUUCAUUGGUUUUUAGAUCGAAAGAGGUAAUGAUUAAUAGAAGCAGUUUGGGGGCAUUAGUAUUACGACGCGAGAGGUGAAAUUCUUGGACCGUCGUAAGACUAACUUAAGCGAAAGCAUUUGCCAAAGAUGUUUUCAUUAAUCAAGAACGAAAGUUAGAGGUUCGAAGGCGAUCAGAUACCGCCCUAGUUCUAACCAUAAACGAUGCCAGCUAGCAAUUGGGUGUAGCUAAGAUUAUG